UUGGAGGGCAAGUCUGGUGCCAGCAGCCGCGGUAAUUCCAGCUCCAAUAGCGUAUAUUAAAGUUGUUGCAGUUAAAAAGCUCGUAGUUGAAUUUCGGGAUCAAGGAAUCGGUCAUGCCUCGGUAUGUACUGGUUUUAUUGGUUCUCACCUUCUAAAGAACCAUAAUGUCAUUUAUUUGAUGUUAUGGGGAAUUAGGACUGUUACCUUGAAAAAAUUAGAGUGUUUAAAGCAAGCUUACGCUUGAAUACAUUAGCAUGGAAUAAUGAAAUAGGACAUCCGAUUCUAUUUUGUUGGUUUCUAGGAUCGAUGUAAUGAUUAAUAGGGAUAGUUGGGGGCAUUAGUAUUCAAUUGUCAGAGGUGAAAUUCUUGGAUUUAUUGAAGACUAACUACUGCGAAAGCAUUUGCCAAGGAUGUUUUCAUUAAUCAAGAACGAAAGUUAGGGGAUCGAAGACGAUCAGAUACCGUCGUAGUCUUAACCAUAAACUAUGCCGACUAGGGAUCGGAUGAUGUUAAUUUUUAAUGACUCAUUCGGC
rnacentral:rRNA from 1 species